rnacentral:rRNA from 1 species
GACGAACGCUGGCGGCGUGCUUAACACAUGCAAGUCGAGCGGUAAGGCCCUUUCGGGGGUACACGAGCGGCGAACGGGUGAGUAACACGUGGGUGACCUGCCCUCAGCUCUGGGAUAAGCCUGGGAAACCGGGUCUAAUACUGGAUAUGACUCCAUGACGCAUGUUGUGGGGUGAAAGCCUUGUGCGGCUGAGGAUGGGCCCGCGGCCUAUCAGCUUGUUGGUGGGGUGANGGGCCUACCAAGGCGACGACGGGUAGCCGGCCUGAGAGGGCGACCGGCCACACUGGGACUGAGACACGGCCCAGACUCCUACGGGAGGCAGCGGUGGGGAAUCUUGCGCAAUGGGCGAAAGCCUGACGCAGCGACGCCGCGUGAGGGAUGAC